CCUUGGGUAACGAUCUUGGGAGGCUGUUUUAUAAUUUUCAAAGUUAAGUAUUUAUAUAUGUUACACUACGGUUAUUAAUCACAGUAGUGUCGAUAUUGUGCUGGUUUAAAUAAAGCUGUGGCCGAGAUACAGCAGCUGGUUUAAAUAAAGCUGUGGCCGUUGCCCUUACCUACUAACUAUGGUGUUGCAUUACUUAUUGGGAAUUUAAGGGUAACAGGAUUUGGCGAUUUAAGGAGUCAGCAGUCAAGCAAUAUUGUCUUAAAAGGAGGAGGAGUCUGCAUUCAGACUCUUUAUUGUGGAUCUAUUUUCCAAGACAGUUAACGUUUCACUCUACAGAGCAAAGCAUAACUAGCUGAAGAAAUACAAUUAAAGGGGAGAUGUCACUUCUAAAUUUACGCUUUUGAAUAUAAAAUAUAAAAUCACCUCUAACUUGUGUAAACCUGUUUUUCAUGAAAUGCUCUGUUUUCUUUUAAAUAUAUAAUAAAGAGUUAGCAAAUUACUUCAUAAUCCAAUUCAGACAAAGCCAGGGAUAACAUUACUUAUGUAGAGAAGAAAGCGAAACAUGGUUUCAGUAAUCCAGUUCUCUGUAUGUUCUGUCUCUGCUGACUGCUAUGUUUAUAUAUAAAAAAAAAGGUUAAUCCUAGCUGGACCAGGCACCCAGACCACUUUAUUAAGCUGAAGUGGUCUGGGUGCCUAUAGUGGUCCUUUAAGUGGCGGUCUGAGUUAACCGUCUGCCUAUGGUUGUUUGCAAUUGGCUGUAAAGUUUGUUAAAUUAACCAUCCUGCUCAAUGAAGCACUUCAGUUUGCCCAUGUGCUUUAGGGGUAAACUAGAGAUUUCCCAUGUUUUAUUUUACUUAAGUGCUGAUUUCAAGAGAAAUUGUCACUUUUAUAAAAGUCCUUAGUUACACCCUCCAGCUGUCAAUCAGAUAGCCAAUAGGUCUAAACGAUCAUUCAAAGAAGAAGGCGAUGCUCCUGACAUGCUCCUUAGGUUCCCAAUGCUUCUACAUGAUAAAGAUUGAAUUGGCCUGGAUACAGGGGCGUAUUAGCCGCGAGGCAAACAAGGCAUUUGCCUUGGGCGGCAUUUUUCAGGGGGCGGCAAAAAAUGCCGCCCCCCAAAUGCCCAGGGCAAAUGCCUAGUUAGCCUUGCGGCUAACUGACAUCCCGAGCGGGCGGGCGGCGCUGGCAGGCGGGCGGCUGGCGAGGGAGCACUUCCUAUGAGCUCUCUGCUCAGCUCCCUCGCGCGCCGCAGAGUGAAGCUGGGAGCCGGAAGAUGACGUCAUCUUCCGGCUCCCAGCCUCACUCUGCAGCCGGCGCGCGAGGGAGCUCGCCAGCCGCCCGCCUGCCAGCGCCGCCCGCCCGACCUGCAGCCACUGGACCACCAGGGAGAGAGACCCCCCCCAGCACUCCCAAAGGUAAGGAGGUUGGGGGGCGGAUUUAAAUAAAAAAAAAAAAAGUUAAUUUGUGUGUGUGUCUGACUGUGUUUGUGUGUUUGUGAGUGUGUGUGUUUGUGUCUGACUGUGUGUGUGUGACUGUGUGUGUGUUUGUGUCUGACUGUGUGUGUGUGACUGUGUGUGUGUUUGUGUCUGACUGUGUUUGUGUCUGUGUAUGUGUCUGUGUAUGUGUCUGACUGUGUGUCUGUGUAUGUGUCUGACUGUGUCUGUGUGUGUGUGUGUGUGUGUGUCUGACUGUGUGUGUGUCCGACUGUGUGUGUUUGUGUCUGUGUUUGUGAGUGUGUGUCUGACUGUGUAUGUGUGUGUUUGUGUCUGACUGUGUUUGUGUCUGUGUAUGUGUCUGACUGUGUGUGUGUGUGUCUGACUGUGUGUGUGUGUGUGUGUGUAUGUAUGUGUCUGACUGUGUGUGUUUGUGUCUGUGUUUGUGUGUUUGUGAGUGUGUGUGUCUGUGUGUGUGUGUUUGUGUCUGUGUGUCUGACUGUGUGUGUGUGUCUGACUGUGUGUGUGUGUGUUUGUGUCUGACUGUGUGUGUGUGUGUGUUUGUGUCUGACUGUGUUUGUCUGUGUAUGUGUCUGACUGUGUGUGUGUGUGUGUCUGACUGUGUGUGUGUGUUU
rnacentral:lncRNA from 1 species